CCUUACACAUGCAAGUCGAACGGGCAGCACGGGAGCAAUCCUGGUGGCGAGUGGCGAACGGGUGAGUAAUACAUCGGAACGUGUCCUGUAGUGGGGGAUAGCCCGGCGAAAGCCGGAUUAAUACCGCAUACGCUCUACGGAGGAAAGGGGGGGAUCUUAGGACCUCCCGCUACAGGGGCGGCCGAUGGCAGAUUAGCUAGUUGGUGGGGUAAAGGCCUACCAAGGCGACGAUCUGUAGCUGGUCUGAGAGGACGACCAGCCACACUGGGACUGAGACACGGCCCAGACUCCUACGGGAGGCAGCAGUGGGGAAUUUUGGACAAUGGGCGAAAGCCUGAUCCAGCAAUGCCGCGUGUGUGAAGAAGGCCUUCGGGUUGUAAAGCACUUUUGUCCGGAAAGAAAACGUCGUGGUUAAUACCCGUGGCGGAUGGCGGUACCGGAAGAAUAAGCACCGGCUAACUACGUGCCAGCAGCCGCGGUAAUACGUAGGGUGCAAGCGUUAAUCGGAAUUACUGGGCGUAAAGCGUGCGCAGGCGGUUCGCUAAGACAGAUGUGAAAUCCCCGGGCUUAACCUGGGAACUGCAUUUGUGACUGGCGGGCUAGAGUAUG
rnacentral:rRNA from 1 species